rnacentral:rRNA from 1 species
GUGGGGAAUUUUGGACAAUGGGCGCAAGCCUGAUCCAGCCAUGCCGCGUGAGUGAAGAAGGCCUUCGGGUUGUAAAGCUCUUUCGGCCGGGAAGAAAUCGGCGACUCUAACAUAGUCGCUGGAUGACGGUACCGGACUAAGAAGCACCGGCUAACUACGUGCCAGCAGCCGCGGUAAUACGUAGGGUGCGAGCGUUAAUCGGAAUUACUGGGCGUAAAGCGUGCGCAGGCGGUUUUGUAAGACAGAUGUGAAAUCCCCGGGCUUAACCUGGGAACUGCGUUUGUGACUGCAAGGCUAGAGUACGGCAGAGGGGGGUGGAAUUCCUGGUGUAGCAGUGAAAUGCGUAGAUAUCAGGAGGAACACCGAUGGCGAAGGCAGCCCCCUGGGCCUGCACUGACGCUCAUGCACGAAAGCGUGGGGAGCAAACAGGAUUAGAAACCCCGGUAGUCC